rnacentral:tRNA from 1 species
GCGGAAGUAGCGCAGUUGGUAGAGCGUAGCCUUCCAAGCUGAAUGCCGUCUCGUUACGUGUAACGAGAUCCCUCGUCUUCCGCU